UACGUAGGGCGCAAGCGUUGUCCGGAAUUAUUGGGCGUAAAGAGCUCGUAGGCGGCUUGUUGCGUCGACCGUGAAAACCCGGGGCUCAACUUCGGGCUUGCGGUCGAUACGGGCGGGCUAGAGUUCGGUAGGGGAGACUGGAAUUCCUGGUGUAGCGGUGAAAUGCGCAGAUAUCAGGAAGAACACCCGUGGCGAAGGCGGCUCUCUGGGACGGUACUGACGCUGAUACGCGAAAGCGUGGGGAGCGAACAGG
rnacentral:rRNA from 1 species